rnacentral:rRNA from 1 species
CCUACGGGAGGCUGCAGUCGAGAAUCAUUCACAAUGGGGGAAACCCUGGUGGUGCGACGCCGCGUGGGGGAAUGAAGGUCUUCGGAUUGUAAACCCCUGUCAUGUGGGUGCAAAUUAAAAAGAUAGUACCACAAGAGGAAGAGACGGCUAACUCUGUGCCAGCAGCCGCGGUAAUACAGAGGUCUCAAGCGUUGUUCGGAAUCACUGGGCGUAAAGCGUGCGUAGGCUGUUUCGUAAGUCGUGUGUGAAAGGCGCGGGCUCAACCCGCGGACGGCACAUGAUACUGCGAGACUAGAGUAAUGGAGGGGGAACCGGAAUUCUCGGUGUGGCAGUGAAAUGCGUAGAUAUCGAGAGGAACACUCGUGGCGAAGGCGGGUUCCUGGACAUUAACUGACGCUGAGGCACGAAGGCCAGGGGAGCGAAAGGGAUUAGAUACCCCGGUAGUC